GUCCUUACCUGGCAGGGGAGAUACCAUGAUCACGAAGGUGGUUUUCCCAAGGCUUAUCCAUUGCACUCCGGAUGUGCUGACCCCUGCGAUUUCCCCCAAUGUGGGAAACUCGACUGCAUAAUUUGUGGUAGUGGGGGGCUGCAUUCGCACUAUCCCCUG
ensembl:snRNA U1 U1 spliceosomal RNA